GACGAACGCUGGCGGCGUGCCUAAUACAUGCAAGUCGAACGAACCGCGACUAGGUGCUUGCACUUGGUCAAGGUGAGUGGCGAACGGGUGAGUAACACGUGGGUAACCUACCUCAUAGUGGGGGAUAACAGUCGGAAACGACUGCUAAUACCGCAUAGGACAUGGAAUCACAUGAUUCUGUGAGGAAAGGUGGCGCAAGCUAUCGCUAAGAGAUGGACCCGCGGUGCAUUAGCUAGUUGGUAGGGUAACGGCCUACCAAGGCGAUGAUGCAUAGCCGACCUGAGAGGGUGAUCGGCCACAUUGGGACUGAGACACGGCCCAAACUCCUACGGGAGGCAGCAGUAGGGAAUCUUCCGCAAUGGACGCAAGUCUGACGGAGCAACGCCGCGUGAGUGAAGAAGGUCUUCGGAUCGUAAAGCUCUGUUGUUAGAGAAGAACAGCGCAUAGAGUAACUGUUAUGCGUGUGACGGUAUCUAACCAGAAAGCCACGGCUAACUACGUGCCAGCAGCCGCGGUAAUACGUAGGUGGCGAGCGUUGUCCGGAUUUAUUGGGCGUAAAGGGAGUGUAGGCGGUCUAUUAAGUCUGAUGUGAAAGCCCACGGCUCAACCGUGGAGGGUCAUUGGAAACUGGGAGACUUGAGUGCAGAAGAGGAGAGCGGAAUUCCAUGUGUAGCGGUGAAAUGCGUAGAUAUAUGGAGGAACACCAGUGGCGAAGGCGGCUCUCUGGUCUGUAACUGACGCUGAGGCUCGAAAGCGUGGGGAGCAAACAGG
rnacentral:rRNA from 1 species